AAAUAUACAGGAUUCAUACUCAACGCCACAUAUGACGUUAUAGUGACAUUUUCACGGUACACCCGUUACGGAAAUCUUAACAAUGAUCAGUUAAAAGAUCGUUUGCUAGGGAACGGUACAGAAUGGUGGGGCUGCUGAUAUAAGAAGGUAGUGGGAGAGUUUACCACUUAAAGUAGUGACGAAUGCCGUUACCUUAAACCUGCUCAAAGCGAGCGAUUUCCCACUCACCGACGCAAUGUACAAGUAUAAUGUUGUGUUAUGUAUCUUCCUGCUGUGUCUACUGUGUGUCGCGCACGGCUAUUCAAUCGCGAGGAGACCUAUAAGAUCCAACAAAUUUGACGUCGUGAUAUUCACUCAGAGAUGGCCACCAACAGUUUGUUACAUGUGGAAAGAAAGUUCCGGAUCGCAUAGUUGCUCGCUACCCAAACACGAUGAAUGGACUAUACACGGUAUUUGGCCCACGCAAUUCAACCAUAUCGGCCCGCAGUUCUGCAACAGGUCGUUGCAUUUUAAUACGAGUGCUCUAGCACCUAUAGAGAACGAAUUGAAAGAAAAGUGGAUCGACAUUCAGAAGGGAUCCAAGCCCUAUUCGUUUUGGAGACACGAAUGGGAUAAACACGGCACCUGUGCAGUUACCAUCAAAGAUCUGAAUAGUGUAUUUAAAUAUUUCCACACUGGUCUGAAACUACUCGACACUUACAACAUGAUAGACGUGCUUGCAAAAGCGAACAUCUUGCCGGGUGAAAAAUAUACAAUAGACGAUUUGUUGCAUGCAGUUGAAAAGAUUCUGGGCAAAAGAGCCCAAGUGAUGUGUACGGAGAAUGAGGAAACGGGUGAAUCAUAUGUGUUCGAGAUAAGAAUCUGUUUCGACAAAACAUUACAACUAGUGGACUGUGAUGGAGUUUAUGAUUUCCCUACGAACUGUAAUAAAUCUAAACUGAUAACAUAUCCUGGUCAUGUACCACACAACUACCAAGUAAUACAGAUAUAACGAUUGUAUUUUGUAAACUUUUUCGUAUGUAAGAAUUAGAGAGGAAGGGAAAGCUGGGAUAGUAUUAAAAUUAUAGGAUAAAAUUACACAUUAUGCACAGACAACAUAUACACGACAAAAUCAACUUUCAUCGCGACAACAAACUUGCUCACUGAUGUCUUACGGAUGAGAAGAAUUAUCAUUAAUCUGGUAAAUGUCUUGUAAUCAAUCUGUAUGAGAAUGUACAUCAGUGUUUCUGCUUACGAAUUAGGAUAUCAUUGGCUACAUCAUUCCACCUUCUUCUGAACGAUCACGACUGCUGAGGGCACCAAACCU